AUUGAACGCUGGCGGCAGGCCUAACACAUGCAAGUCGAGCGAGCGGCGGACGGGUGAGUAAUGUCUGGGAAACUGCCUGCUGGAGGGGGAUAACUACUGGAAACGGUAUCUAAUACCGCAUACCAUCAGAUGUGCCCAGAUGGGAUUAGCGAGUAGGUGGGGUAACGGCUCCCCUAAGCGACGAUCCCUAGCUGGUCUGAGAGGAUGACCAGCCACACUGGAACUGAGACACGGUCCAGACUCCUACGGGAGGCAGCAGUGGGGAAUAUUGCACAAUGGGCGCAAGCCUGAUGCAGCCAUGCCGCGUGUGUGAAGAAGGCCUUCGGGUUGUAAAGCACUUUCAGCGGGGAGGCGUUACCCGCAGAAGAAGCACCGGCUAACUCCGUGCCAGCAGCCGCGGUAAUAC
rnacentral:rRNA from 1 species